GAUGAACGCUAGCUACAGGCUUAACACAUGCAAGUCGAGGGGCAGCAUGGUCUUAGCUUGCUAAGGCCGAUGGCGACCGGCGCACGGGUGAGUAACACGUAUCCAACCUGCCGUCUACUCUUGGACAGCCUUCUGAAAGGAAGAUUAAUACAAGAUGGCAUCAUGAGUCCGCAUGUUCACAUGAUUAAAGGUAUUCCGGUAGACGAUGGGGAUGCGUUCCAUUAGAUAGUAGGCGGGGUAACGGCCCACCUAGUCUUCGAUGGAUAGGGGUUCUGAGAGGAAGGUCCCCCACAUUGGAACUGAGACACGGUCCAAACUCCUACGGGAGGCAGCAGUGAGGAAUAUUGGUCAAUGGGCGAGAGCCUGAACCAGCCAAGUAGCGUGAAGGAUGACUGCCCUAUGGGUUGUAAACUUCUUUUAUAAAGGAAUAAAGUCGGGUAUGGAUACCCGUUUGCAUGUACUUUAUGAAUAAGGAUCGGCUAACUCCGUGCCAGCAGCCGCGGUAAUACGGAGGAUCCGAGCGUUAUCCGGAUUUAUUGGGUUUAAAGGGAGCGUAGAUGGAUGUUUAAGUCAGUUGUGAAAGUUUGCGGCUCAACCGUAAAACUGCAGUUGAUACUGGAUAUCUUGAGUGCAGUUGAGGCAGGCGGAAUUCGUGGUGUAGCGGUGAAAUGCUUAGAUAUCACGAAGAACUCCGAUUGCGAAGGCAGCCUGCUAAGCUGCAACUGACAUUGAGGCUCGAAAGUGUGGGUAUCAAACAGGAUUAGAUACCCUGGUAGUCCACACGGUAAACGAUGAAUACUCGCUGUUUGCGAUAUACUGCAAGCGGCCAAGCGAAAGCGUUAAGUAUUCCACCUGGGGAGUACGCCGGCAACGGUGAAACUCAAAGGAAUUGACGGGGGCCCGCACAAGCGGAGGAACAUGUGGUUUAAUUCGAUGAUACGCGAGGAACCUUACCCGGGCUUAAAUUGCAGAUGAAUUACGGUGAAAGCCGUAAGCCGCAAGGCAUCUGUGAAGGUGCUGCAUGGUUGUCGUCAGCUCGUGCCGUGAGGUGUCGGCUUAAGUGCCAUAACGAGCGCAACCCUUGUUGUCAGUUACUAACAGGUUCCGCUGAGGACUCUGACAAGACUGCCAUCGUAAGAUGUGAGGAAGGUGGGGAUGACGUCAAAUCAGCACGGCCCUUACGUCCGGGGCUACACACGUGUUACAAUGGGGGGUACAGAGGGCCGCUACCACGCGAGUGGAUGCCAAUCCCCAAAACCUCUCUCAGUUCGGACUGGAGUCUGCAACCCGACUCCACGAAGCUGGAUUCGCUAGUAAUCGCGCGUCAGCCACGGCGCGGUGAAUACGUUCCCGGGCCU
rnacentral:rRNA from 1 species